rnacentral:rRNA from 1 species
UUAAGAAUCUUGGACAAUGGACGAAAGUCUGAUCCAGCGACGCCGCGUGAACGAUGAAGGUUUUCGGAUUGUAAAGUUCCGUAAGCAGGGAUGAAAAAAAUGACGGUACCUGCCUAAAGCAUCGGCUAAAUACGUGCCAGCAGCCGCGGUAAUACGUAUGAUGCAAGCGUUGUUCGGAAUUAUUGGGCGUAAAGGGCAUUCAGGCGGGAUGAUAAGUCGGAUGUGAAAUCCCAAGGCUCAACCUUGGAACUGCACCCGAAACUGUCAUUCUUGAGUCAGGGAGAGGAAGGCGGAAUUCCCGGUGUAGCGGUGAAAUGCGUAGAUAUCGGGAAGAACACCAGUGGCGAAGGCGGCCUUCUGGCCUAUGACUGACGCUGAAGUGCGAAAGCGUGGGGAUCAAACG